UAACCCUUCAUACUGUUGGCUUAAUCUCAUAUCUCUUAUUCUUUUCUUCAGAUUGUGCAGCUGCAGGUUGUCAAAGAUCAGCUGUGGUUAUCUGAGCUCAGCUCUGAAGUUCAAUCCCUCCCAUCUGACAGAACUGGACCUACGAGGAAAUAACCUGAAUAAGGCCGAUGUUCAGCCGCUGGAGGAUCUUGUAAAACGUCCAGACUACAAACUGGAUACUCAGGGUGGAUGUUAAAAGUGGUUAUAGUUGCUCUCAGCAGCAAGGUAGUGGUGGUGGGUGACUCUCUAGAGACAAGAAGAUGUAAGCUGUCCUGAUGAUUCACAGGAGUUGAAGCUGCAGCAGCUAAAAUUAAUGGAGACUCUGACUGGAUCAUGAUUUUAGGGAACUUUUUCCUAUUUCUUUAUGUCUGUAAACUGGUUGGUGAUAUUGUAGCUAAAAUAAAAAUCUAAUAAAAGAGUUCCGGUUAUGGCCGUGAGCUAGAAGGUUAAGUUCGAAACUGCUCUCUACAACAAUCCUGAAAAAUCCCUUGAUUAGACUUCAAAACGCCCUAACAGUUAUAUUUCAACUUGAUUCGGAUACAACAAUGCCUGGCCCUGGAAAAACCAGCAAGGAUAAGGCAAAAACAGCCACGCAAUCUAAAUGAACUGACUUUGGACCGCAAAACGUGGAGCUAAGUGCUAAGGAGGCUAGCAAAGAUGUUAGCGUUGAGCGGAGCGCUAGCAAAGAGGCUAGCGCGGAGCUAGCGCAACGCAGCGGGGAUGACACGAACAGCCCACCUGGUGCCAAGGCGGAGAUAUUGGGGGCAAUAAACAACUUAAAGACAGAGUUCGGAGUAAGAUUUGAUGGCGUCAUGACUGCCAUAAAUGCUAUAUGAAAAGACGUGGGUGAAUGUGCCAAACGUCUGACACACGCAGAGGAGCGCUUAUCUACGGUGGAGGACGA